UGGGGAAUAUUGCACAAUGGGGGAAACCCUGAUGCAGCGACGCCGCGUGAGCGAUGAAGUAAUUCGUUAUGUAAAGCUCUAUCAGCAGGGAAGAUAGUGACGGUACCUGACUAAGAAGCUCCGGCUAAAUACGUGCCAGCAGCCGCGGUAAUACGUAUGGAGCAAGCGUUAUCCGGAUUUACUGGGUGUAAAGGGAGUGUAGGUGGCCAUGCAAGUCAGAAGUGAAAAUCCGGGGCGCAACCCCGGAACUGCUUUUGAAACUGUGAGGCUAGAGUGCAGGAGGGGUGAGUGGAAUUCCUAGUGUAGCGGUGAAAUGCGUAGAUAUUAGGAGGAACACCAGUGGCGAAGGCGGCUCACUGGACUGUAACUGACACUGAGGCUCGAAAGCGUGGGGAGCAAACA
rnacentral:rRNA from 1 species